GGUACCUGCGCCUUGGUUUAUAGUGGGAGUGGACGAGCUGCCACCUUCGUGGGAUCCCGUUAAGACGCCAAAGUUUGGCUGCUGCAUUAUUAAGAAAGAAAGGUCUUCUUGGUGCUUGAAUUCACCAAAUGUUACCAGAAAUAGUUCUCCAAAAGUUGUUGAACAAAGAGCACAAUGGAGUUUAGGACUUGCAAAGGUUUGGUGGAGAUACUUAUGGAGCACGAUACUCCUUACCAUCGAGGGCAAAAUGGAUGGAGCAAGGAAACUUGGAACUUGAUGAUGACAAAAUUCCAUGCAAAACACAAACAUGUGAAGUUCUCGAAGCCUCAAAUUCAAGAUAAGUAGAAGGAGAUCAAAAGAGAAUACAUGAUGUUAAAAGAAGAUCGAAAGCAAAGCGGUGUUGGAUGGGAUGACAAAAGAUGUAUGAUAGAAGCAGACACCGACCUUUGGGACAAUCUGAUGAUUGCAAGUUCUUUAAUUCCACCCUUCAAUAUGGUUACAAUUUUAUACCAUGCUAAUACUCAGCUAUUAGUCUGGUUCUUUGUAGUCAUAUCCAAGUAUCAGGAAAUUCAAGAAGAAAUAUUUUCCUCUCUUUGAUUUGUUAGGAGAACUCUAUGAUGCGCAUACAACAAUGGGUACCUGUAAUUUCACAUCCAUUGCACAACCAUCACAAAUUGAGGAAGACUUUGAAGAUGAAAGAGAGGUUGAGGAAGUAAAAGAAAGUGAUGACUUGGAGAUGAUGAAUCAAGUGCAACAUGAUGAAGAUGACUUGCAAAUUCUGGAUAAAAUAGAUGUUUCACAUAGGAAGGAGGAUGUCAAUCCAAGUAAAGAAGUGGGUCGUAGAAUGACUGGUUCAGGAAAGAUGCCCCAAAAGAAGCCCAAUAAGGAGACGCCCAAGAAUAGUGAAGAUGUGAUUGCUCAAGCAUUAGAGAAGUAUAUAGAGUUGAAGAAAAGGCAAGUAGAUGAUGAAGUUGCAUACUUGGCCAAUGAAAAAGGCAGAGGCGGCAAAAUUACAUGACUCCUCUAUCACCAAGUGCAUGGAUGUGUUGAAAACAAUGGAGGAUGUCACCCGCAUCGAGAACAUCAAAGCAUUCAACAUCUUCAAGGAUGCUGUAAAACGUGAGAUUUUCAUAAAUGUCGCUGAUGAUGAUAAAGAGACUGUUGUUAUGUGGCUUUGGAGCCAGAUGUCCCCAUGAGUUCUCAGGCAUCUGAGGAACCAAGACUAGAUACGUUUGGCCACUCAAAAACUGGAUGAACAUGACAUCAAAAGAACAAUUCAUCUUCAUUAUAACAUCAUUCUCAUCCUUUCUUGGUAUGUAAUAAUGGCAUGGCCAUGAUGAAGUGUUGUUGCUACGAUGAGAUGAUUCCAAGUCAUGCAAAAUUAAGUUGUUACUUUGAUGAUCCGGAAAGAUCAGAUUUUUAAUUUUAUUGUCUAAUUAUAUUUGUGGAAAAUUUAUGUCGCCUUGCGAUGAACUUUUGUUGCUAUGAGGACAUAAUGAAGUCAUGCAAAAUUAUGUUGUCUUU